AAAAUGGGGGUGCCUAUACAUGCAAGUCGAGCGGACAGAUGGGAGCUUGCUCCCUGAUGUUAGCGGCGGACGGGUGAGUAACACGUGGGUAACCUGCCUGUAAGACUGGGAUAACUCCGGGAAACCGGGGCUAAUACCGGAUGGUUGUUUGAACCGCAUGGUUCAGACAUAAAAGGUGGCUUCGGCUACCACUUACAGAUGGACCCGCGGCGCAUUAGCUAGUUGGUGAGGUAACGGCUCACCAAGGCAACGAUGCGUAGCCGACCUGAGAGGGUGAUCGGCCACACUGGGACUGAGACACGGCCCAGACUCCUACGGGAGGCAGCAGUAGGGAAUCUUCCGCAAUGGACGAAAGUCUGACGGAGCAACGCCGCGUGAGUGAUGAAGGUUUUCGGAUCGUAAAGCUCUGUUGUUAGGGAAGAACAAGUGCCGUUCAAAUAGGGCGGCACCUUGACGGUACCUAACCAGAAAGCCACGGCUAACUACGUGCCAGCAGCCGCGGUAAUACGUAGGUGGCAAGCGUUGUCCGGAAUUAUUGGGCGUAAAGGGCUCGCAGGCGGUUUCUUAAGUCUGAUGUGAAAGCCCCCGGCUCAACCGGGGAGGGUCAUUGGAAACUGGGGAACUUGAGUGCAGAAGAGGAGAGUGGAAUUCCACGUGUAGCGGUGAAAUGCGUAGAGAUGUGGAGGAACACCAGUGGCGAAGGCGACUCUCUGGUCUGUAACUGACGCUGAGGAGCGAAAGCGUGGGGAGCGAACAGGAUUAGAUACCCUGGUAGUCCACGCCGUAAACGAUGAGUGCUAAGUGUUAGGGGGUUUCCGCCCCUUAGUGCUGCAGCUAACGCAUUAAGCACUCCGCCUGGGGAGUACGGUCGCAAGACUGAAACUCAAAGGAAUUGACGGGGGCCCGCACAAGCGGUGGAGCAUGUGGUUUAUUCGAAGCAACGCGAAGAA
rnacentral:rRNA from 1 species